AGCCAGUGUGGUGUAGUGGUUUGAGUAUUAGACUACAACUCUGGAGCCCAGGGUUUGUUUCCCAGCUUGGCUA